AUUAAUUUAUUUGCAUUUCUAAAUAAUUUUCCUGAUAUAAUAUUUUUGUUUCCCGUGCAAAAUAUGUACCUACUUUUUGUUUUGGUUCCGUUGAGCAUUCGUCAAUUCAUAUCGCAUUUUAGUUGUGAUAACAAAAACACCUAAGAGCUAGAAUUGUGCUUUUUUUUGUUUUAUCCAAUUCAUAAGAAAGCUGCUAUUAAAUAAGCUAAAUAACAUAUGCAUAAUACCCUUUCAGACCGGCCCGGCUCACGCAACUCCCAUUAGAAAUCAUGUUCAUAUUGCAUGCCGAGCUUAAAUUAACAGAGUGCUAAAUUGUGAGUGAAAAAAACCGGCGCACAGAAAUUAAGCAGGCGAUCGAAGUUCGAGUGUGAACAAUGCGCCGCAUUGCUUAGAGCAUGGUGCACACCCGCACAAACACGAGAUGAGCCAAGGCCGGAGAUAAGAAGCCAGCAGUUCGUGUGUGUGUUCGCUGUCAUUUAUCUAGUUACGCUCACGCGCUCACGAUUCUUUACGGCGCUGAUCGCUGAUUGGUCCAAUCAAUAAGUGCCGGCAGCAAUGUUCUCUGCGCUCUGCUCUCUGAGCGCAGCUUUGAUGCAGCUGCGCAACUUUCGUCUGAGUCAGUGUGGCCCUAUAAGUGAAUAGGGCAUGUUGUUGUGCUGCGCGGGAUAGUCUAUUAAGCCUGUAAUUAUUUUCUUAUACGUCUUCCCGGAUCUGAUGCGUAAGCAGAUAAGGCUAUUAUUUGGCGAUUACAUAACAUAUGUUUAGAUAACACAUGUUUGUGUGUUUUCGCACUUGAUACCUGCUAAUGCUUGCUUGAGCGUUAUCUAGCUUUGAACAGGGAUUACUACAGUUUGUGGGUUUCUUGCUCCAUGUGCUGUGCGCCGAGCACUUGAGUGAAACUCUUUGAGUAACAUUAUAAGGAAAACUGCUCGGAAAAUGUCGUCCAUGUCGCAAAUAUCAAUUGACAUGUAAAACAAUUGCCCUGAAAUUUCUUAGUGCUCUGUCGACUUUGGCGAUUUUGAAGACUCACGGACCCCAAAAGCUAAAUCUGCCAAGGACAAAAAUUUUGAGACCUGAAUGAGCUUGGAUAUAUGCUCAUGCUAUGGAUAUAUGUUGCCUUAAACAAAACCGCAUUUUAAUUUUGUUGCUGCCAAUCUGCGUCGAUUCUUAAAUUAACAUUUUGUAGAAUUCUGCCGAUCUUAAAGACUAAUCCUGCCAACCUUCAUGGACAAUAUAUAA